GGUUCUAUGGUGUAGUGGUUAGCACUCUAUACUUUGAAUCCAGUGACUUGGGUUCAAAUCUCGGUAGGACCU
rnacentral:tRNA from 1 species